rnacentral:rRNA from 1 species
AAUACAUCGGAACGUGCCUAGUAGUGGGGGAUAACUACUCGAAAGAGUAGCUAAUACCGCAUGAGAUCUACGGAUGAAAGCAGGGGACCUUCGGGCCCUGUGCUACUAGAGCGGCUGAUGGCAGAUUAGGUAGUUGGUGGGGUAAAGGCUUACCAAGCCUGCGAUCUGUAGCUGGUCUGAGAGGACGACCAGCCACACUGGGACUGAGACACGGCCCAGACUCCUACGGGAGGCAGCAGUGGGGAAUUUUGGACAAUGGGCGAAAGCCUGAUCCAGCAAUGCCGCGUGCAGGAUGAAGGCCCUCGGGUUGUAAACUGCUUUUGUACGGAACGAAAAACCUGGGGCUAAUAUCCCCGGGUCAUGACGGUACCGUAAGAAUAAGCACCGGCUAACUACGUGCCAGCAGCCGCGGUAAUACGUAGGGUGCAAGCGUUAAUCGGAAUUACUGGGCGUAAAGCGUGCGCAGGCGGUUUUGUAAGACAGUGGUGAAAUCCCCGGGCUCAACCUGGGAACUGCCAUUGUGACUGCAAGGCUAGAGUGCGGCAGAGGGGGAUGGAAUUCCGCGUGUAGCAGUGAAAUGCGUAGAUAUGCGGAGG